AUUGAACGCUGGCGGCAGGCCUAACACAUGCAAGUCGAGCGGGGUUUUCGGACCUAGCGGCGGACGGGUGAGUAAUGCGUAGGAAGCUACCCGAUAGAGGGGGAUACCAGUUGGAAACGACUGUUAAUACCGCAUAAUGUCUACGGACCAAAGUGUGGGACCUUCGGGCCACAUGCUAUCGGAUGCGCCUACGUGGGAGUAGCUAGUUGGUGAGGUAAUGGCCCACCAAGGCGACGAUCCCUAGCUGGUUUGAGAGGAUGAUCAGCCACACUGGAACUGAGACACGGUCCAGACUCCUACGGGAGGCAGCAGUGGGGAAUAUUGGACAAUGGGCGCAAGCCUGAUCCAGCCAUGCCGCGUGUGUGAAGAAGGCCUUCGGGUUGUAAAGCACUUUCAGUAGGGAGGAAGCGUUGUGUGUUAAUAGUACACAGCGUUGACGUUACCUACAGAAGAAGCACCGGCUAACUCUGUGCCAGCCGCCGCUGUAAAAC
rnacentral:rRNA from 1 species